CCUACGGGAGGCAGCAGUGGGGAAUUUUGGACAAUGGGCGAAAGCCUGAUCCAGCCAUGCCGCGUGCAGGAUGAAGGCCUUCGGGUUGUAAACUGCUUUUGUACGGAACGAAAAGUCUCUUUCUAAUAAAGAGGGAUCAUGACGGUACCGUAAGAAUAAGCACCGGCUAACUACGUGCCAGCAGCCGCGGUAAU
rnacentral:rRNA from 1 species